CAUAUCACGCUGAAACACCGAUUUCCGUACGAUCACCGAAGUUAAGCAACAUCGAGCCUAGUCAGUACCUACAUGAGUGACCGUUUGGGAUUAAU